GGAGGAGGAGGAGGACACCAUGUGGACAGCCCUGCUAGCCUUUCCAAGAAUUUCAUACCCCAGGGCAAGUAUUGCAGACCUUCUACAGCAGACAUUUAAGAACACCACUGGAAUUUUAUUGUUCAGUCUCCACAGAUAAUGUGCCUUUUUAUGCUCUCAAUAAAUACUGACAUUGUUCACCCCUCUUAAGAGUUUUAUGAGGCGAGUAUGAUUACUUUUUUAAAUGUCUGAGAAAAGUUGAGAAAAUCGCCCAUCAUCACACAACUAAAGAGUGUCAGACAUAAGAUUUUAAUCAACGCCUCUCGGUUUCCAAUGCCCCUAUUCCUUCCAUGUGCCCAUGUUUCUUCUUUGAAACUGAGACAUCAGACCACAGGGGGAACCAAUCUUGGAAGAAAAAUGGGCUAAGUAAGGGUCCACACCCCACUCUCCCAGGUUAGCUCAGGAGUUCCUGAAAUCAGCAUUAAGGCUGGGGAGUGAGGCUAAUGCUUUUCUGUUCUUACAGAAGCUAGAAAAACAGUCACUUCCAGUAAGAGAAUCACUGCUCCAGCCGGCCAAGCAACAUGAGACCACAGACUUCAGGCUGAGUCUUCAAUAAAAAACAUUAUCUGGGCCCUCAGCUGAGCCUCUCUCAUUGGGAUGGGAGGAUCACCAAGUGGUUAUUCAUCAACAGUCGCAGACUCAAGUGUCCUGGAUGGGGAUGGCAGCAGGGGCCAAGUGCUGGCAUUAACAUUUUAUGCUGACAGGGGCGCCCCGGGGGGCUCAGUCAGUUAAGCUUCCUCCUGAUCUCAUGGUUUGUGAGAUAAGACGGGCUCUGUGCUGACAGCUCAGAGCCUGGAGCCUGCUUCACAUUCUGCAUCUCUCUCUCUGCCCCUCCCCCAUUUGUGCUCUG